GGCUCCGGCCCUAUCAGCCUGAAGGCGCCCGAUCUCGUCUGAUCUCGGAAGCUAACACUUGGGUCGGGCCUGGUUAGGAUCUUGGAUGGGAGACCACCUGGGAAUCCCGGGUGCUCGAGGCU
rnacentral:rRNA from 1 species